rnacentral:rRNA from 1 species
GAUGAACGCUAGCGGCAGGCUUAAUACAUGCAAGUCGAGGGACAGCACAGGUAGCAAUACUGGGUGGUAACCGGCAAACGGGUGCGGAACACGUACACAACCUUCCUUUAAGUGGGGGAUAGCCCAGAGAAAUUUGGAUUAAUACCCCGUAAUAUAGUUGAAUGGCAUCAUUUGAUUAUUAUAGCUACGGCGCUUAAUGAUGGGUGUGCGGCCGAUUAGAUAGUUGGCGGGGUAACGGCCCACCAAGCCUACGAUCAGUAGCUGAUGUGAGAGCAUGAUCAGCCACACGGGCACUGAGACAGGGGCCCGACUCCUACGGGAGGCAGCAGUAAGGAAUAUUGGUCAAUGGACGCAAGUCUGAACCAGCCAUGCCGCGUGAAGGAUUAAGGUCCUCUGGAUUGUAAACUUCUUUUAUUUGGGACGAAAAAGGGCCUUUCUAGGUCAACUGACGGUACCAGAUGAAUAAGCACCGGCUAACUCCGUGCCAGCCGCCGCGGUAACAC